CAGCAGCCGCGGGAAUACGGAGGGUGCAAGCGUUAUCCGGAAUCAUUGGGUUUAAAGGGUCCGUAGGCGGUCUUGUAAGUCAGUGGUGAAAGCCCAUCGCUCAACGGUGGAACGGCCAUUGAUACUGCAGGACUUGAAUUAUUGGGAAGUAACUAGAAUAUGUAGUGUAGCGGUGAAAUGCUUAGAGAUUACAUGGAAUACCAAUUGCGAAGGCAGGUUACUACCAAUUGAUUGACGCUGAUGGACGAAAGCGUGGGUAGAGAACAGGAUUAGAUACCCCAGUAGUCCCUGUCUCUUAUAC
rnacentral:rRNA from 1 species